CCUUGAGAGCUGGGCCUCAGCAUGUUUGUAAGAGGCGGAAGAGCAAACAGGCAUGAAAGAGGUUUGAACCAGGUUUCCCAAGGAGCACAAGGAAGCUGGCUGUGGGUUCCACCUGGAGCUUUGCAGCUGCACAGGAAUAGGACAUGAUUUCUGGUGCUCUUAAAUCACGCUUUAAGUACUGCAGGUCAUAUGUAGGGAGGGGGAAUUCCUGUUUUUUAAUAGAGUAAGUGAAUAUAGGUUGGGAAGGAAGAUUGGUACAGGUAAGAGGGAAGUUUUCCUCGAAGGCAGAGGCAGGAGAGGGGUGAGAUGAGGUAGAUUGUUUUUGAAUUUGGGAUGGGGGUGUGUUUUAUUACACUUCCUUAAAGUAUUAUUCUUUUUUUAUAUGGUUUGUGGUGUUUUACUGUGAGCUGCAAUGAACCUGUUUGUGAAGGGUGGCUCAUAAAUCUAUUACAAAAGAAAACAGUAACUCACCAGGCAGACAGUGUUCUGCACCUGGCAAUUCUGAGUUGCUGAUGCUUGUUAGUAGUCAGGGAAGAUCAGCUGAUAUUUGGACAAAGUCAGGGACCAGGUUCACAGGAACUGAAGAGUCAGAGCUGUAAUCAGAUGGCUGGUAAGGAAACCAAGGCAGAACAGAACAGUCAGGAGCAAGAACUAAAGUCCUUGCCAAAACAGGGUAUUAGUACCUUGGCCUUGCUUUUAAAAGUUGGAGAAGGUGGGGUCUGUUCCCUGAAGCCUCAGGAAAUUGAUUGUCCUGAUCAACUGAUGGAGUCAGGCUGGGUCUUGGAAGGUGAUCUGGGUUUAUGAUGAUGAUCAAGAUAAGACUCUUCUGCUUCUAAAGCAGCAUUUCCUGUUCCUGUGGUACCCUAGGUUGGAUCUGUGUUGUUUAUCAAACUAAAAUUUGACAUAGAAUUCAAUGCAGAACAAUUUUCAUAAAGUAUGUGCCCUGUGAUGUUAUUUAGAUUAGAUUCAAAUCCAGCGGUUGGAAUCUUGGCUUUAUGUAAGUUUUAGCAACAGUGAGGAAGGGUGGGGCAUGGGAAACAAUUGGUACAAAAACAGAAAAAGGGGUGUGUGGCAGUAGGGAGGUAUUGACUGUUUGUGCAUCUGGCAGCUGAGGCCAGAGGUUUUGGUGGUGAAUCUGCAGUGAAGAGGGAAGCAACUAUAUCACUGUCCCCCAUUCCCAUCUGGCCUUGUUGCUUCAAAAUUCAGUAAGAGAGUGCUGAACAUACUCAGAAGUUUCAAGAGGUCCAGAUAUAAUGCAACACACUUUGAAGAAGUAGGGUUGAACUUGCUGAAGCUGCUCAAGGAUGAAAAUGAAAAUGAAGUCUGUAUGGGACUAUUUCUACUGGCUGUACUGGCAAUAUCAAUUAAUCACCUGUGCCUACCUUUUCGACACAUGGGAAAGAAUAAUCCUCCACAGUUUUAUCAUUUCUGUUCUUGUUAUGAUGAUUUACACUGCUUAUAUCUACACCCUCCGCAUCUGUCUGAUUCUCAAGUUCUUCUUAUACUUACCUGGAAACGAGCUUGAAAGCAAUGUUUACAUUAUGAAAUAACCUGGUCAUCCUGAUUAUGGCUUUUGGAUCCUGCAAGCUCUUGCUGUAAACUUGUGAAUUUUUUUUCUUCAGAAGACUUUAAACUGACAAGAUGAUGCAUAUCA